AAGUCGUAACAAGGUUUCCGUAGGUGAACCUGCGGAAGGAUCAUUACAAAUCCAACACGUCUCCUUGCCGAGACCCCGUCGAACUGUUCCCCCGGUACGAGAUUCCUUCGGGGCGGUCGAGCGGCGUGCGUGUCACGCGGCUCGGCGGUCCCGACGGCCUUGCCGACCCCUUUAACAACCUAGUGUGACCCUGUUGCUUCAUGUGUAUGUCUCGUGUGUUCACACACACACACACCAACAAGAAACAACUUAUAACAAUGGAUCUCUAGGCUCUU
rnacentral:misc_RNA from 1 species